CAGUAGCCACGGGAACACAGAGGGUGCGAGCGUUAAUCGGAUUUACUGGGCGUAAAGCGUGCGUAGGCGGCUUCUUAAGUCGGAUGUGAAAUCCCUGAGCUUAACUUAGGAAUUGCAUUCGAUACUGGGAAGCUAGAGUAUGGGAGAGGAUGGUAGAAUUCCAGGUGUAGCGGUGAAAUGCGUAGAGAUCUGGAGGAAUACCGAUGGCGAAGGCAGCCAUCUGGCCUAAUACUGACGCUGAGGUACGAAAGCAUGGGGAGCAAACAGGAUUAGAUACCCGCGUAGUCCCUGUCUCUUAUAC
rnacentral:rRNA from 1 species